rnacentral:rRNA from 1 species
GACUCUCGGCAACGGAUAUCUCGGCUCACGCAUCGAUGAAGAACGUAGCAAAAUGCGAUACUUGGUGUGAAUUGCAGAAUCCCGUGAACCAUCGAGUUUUGAACGCAAGUUGCGCCCGAAGCCAUUCGGUUGAGGGCACGUCUGCCUGGGCGUCC